rnacentral:tRNA from 1 species
GAAAUAGGGUAUUUUGACUCUCGUAAUGAGCAGGUCGUCGGUUCGAAUCCGACAGGUGGCUCCA